AAAGUUGAAACCCUAGCCCCUCUUUCCGAACACUAGCACCACUACCCAGUCAGUCACCCUCAGCCCUCCUCGCGACCCCCCUUCUGCGUUCUCUCCAUCUUCUCUGCACCCAGCCAGCCACCUCCGAACACCUCCCUCGCCACUGUCCGUUUCACCUCGCCGUCCCACUCACUGCGCCAUCACCGCACCGCGCCAUUCCCCCUCUGCUGCACUGCUGCGAGUUUAUCUUUUCCCCUUUUCCUUCGCCAACGUCGCUGCUCCGUUGAGUCCGUUCAACUGCUGCGCCGCCGCCGUCGUGCAUUGCUACUCCGCGUCUCUGCUCUUCCUUUCACCGGCGUCUCUCACCUCUCUGGCCAUUUCUCUCCUGUCCGUGGUGGGGUUGGAGGAAUCAUCAAAUCACUAAUUUGGACUUUGGAGUCCAAAUCCAAAUCAUCAAAACUGUGAAUACUUUCUGUUUGCAUUUGUUGUGUUCUGCUGCUUCCAGGUAAGUCAGGAUCGAAAAUUCCAAUUCUUUGGAACUAUGAGAUGGAUAUGGGAGAUUUAAGAGUUUAGCUAACGGCGCUUAUUGUCUCCGCCGCAGCCGGCGUUAGAGCAGGCAGCUGGCACUGCAGUUUCGUAUCUUCCGCCGUCACCACAAACGCGUCGCGUCUCUGGUCGUAGCUUUCGCCGCUUUGGAUCGUCGUCGCACCGCCGCUCUGUUCCGCCGUCUUUUGUUCUGCCGUCCGCCUUUCCUCUUCGUGACCAGCUCUGUUCUUCUCUGUUCUCUGGGUACCCUCGUCUUUCCUCAAGAGCAAGAUGAUUGAUAUCUGUAUGCGGAGCAAGAUGACUGAUAUCUGUAAUAUCGAAGCAGCAAAGAUUUCUGCUAAUUUUGAAAGACUUUAGUAUUAAUUUUACUUUUAAAAAAAUUUGAUUUGAAAAUUGGAUUUCUAAAAACUGAUUUUAAAAUUGGAUUUUUGGUUAAAAAAGUUGUUGAGGUUAAAAAAUCUGGUUUGAAAAUUGGAUUUCUAAAAACUGGUUUUAAAACUGGACUUACAAAAAAAUCGGAUUCAAAACCGGUUUUUAUAUAAAACCGGAUUUAAAUAUUAAAAUCGGUUUUUAUUUUUCCAAACCGGUUUAAAAUCGAUUUCCCUCUUUAAUUUGGUUCCAAUUUGGUUUUAUAAAUCACAAAACUGGUUCUAAAGUGAAUGCAGUUUGGAUUUUUAAAAAUUCAAACCAUGCUCACUCCUAGUCCUAGUUGUUUAUGGAUGUUUCUUUCUUUGAGAAUGAGGGUUCGAAUCCCCUUCGACCAGUAUGGUUCACAUGCAGCAUUAUUAGAUGUUGAUAAUAUUUUUUCUUUCUUUGAGGAGGGUUCGAAUCCCCUUCAACCAGGACGGUUCACAUGCAGCAUUAUUAGGUGUUGAUAAUAUUUUUUAUUUUAAUGUUUUAUUAAUUGCUUUUUGCAUUAUUAUUGUUUUUAGCACCAUGACAAGAAAUCAUUCUAUUUGGAAUUAAUCCAUAAAAUCGAUAUUUGAUUUACACGUUAAAAUGAAAUGGUGCAAAUGUUUGAUAGGGAAGGACUGACACGAAAUGGACAGGAUAUGUUUAUUCUAAUUAAUCUUCCGAAAGUUUUUUUUUAAAGUCCUCUGUUUUCUUAAUCACCUUCUUCUUAGAAGAGCUCUACCUUUUCAUACUCAUGAACACCCUAAGUUCCUCAAUUUUCUUAUCAUCACAAUUAAUAUUGAUUAUUCAAUUCAUGAUUUCUGAUAGAAUUGUAUCAUCUCCAAAUGGAAGGUUGUCAAGUUAAUCUUCUUCCACCAACUUUUAAUAGUUUCAUUCAUCCUAUGUGCCGAUAUAUAUCACCUUUGUGGGUACUGAUGGAGAGCAUACACAAGACUUGGAGCAGUUUCUGUUGUUUCGAGCCAUUAUUGAAGAGCAAAAUCGAUUUUCAAAGGAUGGAGACUCUGCUGAAGAUGGAGAUGCAAAUGGAGUUGGUUCGAGCUUUUACUGAAGAGCAAGCUCGAUUUUUUGAGGAUACGAGGACAGUCAGCCAGAACUGUCAGUGAUUUAGUUCAACUCAAUACUAAUGAACAGCAGGAGCAAGCUGAAAGGUUGGAGGAGUUGCAGAUUCGGUUACUACAUUUGGUGGAGCAAUUGGAGGCGACGGAAGAAUCCAAGAAGAUAGCUGAGGGUGAGAUUGUUUAGCAACCCAAGAGGUCUUCUAGGUAGAGGAUGAGAUUGUUCAAUAACCCCCGAGAGAGGGAAUGAAGAUAGCUUAAGGUUUGUCGCAGCGAUUGAGACUGUUAAGCAACUCGAGGGGUGUAGAGGAUGAGACUGUUCAACAACUAGGAAUGGAGCAGUCUCAUCCUCUACUCUGCAAGACCCUUUGGGUUGCUGAACAGUCUCAAUCUUUACUGUGACAAACUCUUCAGCUCUCCAUUCCUUCUUUCGGUUGCUGAGCAGUUUUAUCCUCUACCUGGAAUCUCUUGGUUGCUGAACAGUUUCAAUCUCUGCUUUCAGAAUCUCUUGGUUGCUGAACAGUUUCAAUCUCUGCUUUCAAUCUCUGCUGUGGCAGACCCCUAUUUAUCUUUGGGAUUCUUUCGUCGCCUCCAAUUGCUCCACCAAAUGUAGUAAUCGAGUCUGCAACUCCUUCAACCGUUCAGUUUGUUCCUGUUGUUCAUUAGUAAUGAGUUGAACUAAAUCACUGACAGUUCUGGCUGACUGGCUUCAUAUCCUCAAAAAAUCGAGCUUGCUCUUCAGUAAUGGGUCGAAACAAUAGAAACAGCUCCAUUUGCAUCUCCAUCAUAACCUCAGAAAAUCGAUCUUGCUGGCUCCAAAAAAAUAGAAACUGCUCCAUUUGCAUCUCGAACAAAGUCUUGUGCAUGCUCUCCAUCAAUAGCCACAAAGGUGAUAUAUAUCUGCACAUAUGAUGAAUGAAACUAUUAAAAGUUGGCGUGAGAAGAUUAACUUGACAACCUUCUACUUGGAGAUGACACAAUUCUAUAGAAAUUAUGAAUUGAAUAAUCGAAAAUUAAGGAACUUAGAGUGUUUGUGAGUGUGAUAGGGCAUAGCUCUUCUCAGAAGCAGGUGAUUAAGGAAGCAGAGAACUUACAAAACAUUUUAACCUGUAAAAAAACUUUUGGAAUAUUAAUUGGAAAAAACCUCUUCAGUCCUUUUCUAUCAAACCUUUGCACCAUUUCAUUUUAACGUGUAAAUCAAACAUCGAUUUUAUGGAUUAAUUUCAAAUAGAAUGAUUCCUUGUCACGUUGCUAAAAACACUAAUAAUGCCAGAAGCAUCUUUCUUGCUAAGCAUAUCAAUUGUUUGUGAUUUUGUUUCUGCUAACUUUAACUUCACUCUAGCAAUAGAGUGUUUUGUUUUUGUUUUCCUUUGGUUUGUUUGUGUUGUAUGCCAGGAGGAAGAAGAGGUGCACCUACCUCUUUUGAUUCUGAGUCAGAGAGAGGACAUUCUUGAGAUUGAGAAGAGAAGCCAGAGGGAAGGGAGUUAUUGGAGAAGAAGCAUCAGAAGAGGAAGAUCAAGAAAUGGAUGGUAACCUCCCUAAUCCACCAGAAGAGGUGGUCAACAACAAUGGCCAACCUCUACGGAGAGUUCUAGCAUCAUAUACAUUCCCCAAUCCAAGAAAUUGUGGGAGCAGUAUACUCACUCCUGAUGUUCAUGCAAAUAACUUUGAGUUGAAGUCUUAACUUAUCACUUUGGUACAAAACAAUUGUUCUUAUGGAGGAGGCCCCCUUAAAGAUCCAAAUCAACACCUAUCUAUCUUCUUGAGGAUAUGUGAAAUUGUCAAGACAAAUGGUGUGCAUCCGGAUAUCUACAAGUUGCUGCUGUUUCCAUUCUCUUUGAAGGAUAAGGCAUCUCAAAGGCUGGAAACAUUCUCCAAAGAAAGCAUCAACACUUGGGAUGAUUUGGUGAACAAAUUCCUAUCUAAGUUCUACCCACCUCAGAGGAUCAUAAGAUUGAAGACAGAGGUGCAAACAUUCACUCAAAUGGAUGGAGAAUCACUUUAUGAGGCAUGGGAGAGAUACAAAGCUCUGAUUAGGAAAUGUCCACUUAAGAUGUUUAGUGAAUGGGACAGACUUCAGAAUUUUUAUGAGGGGUUGACUCUAAAAGCUCAAGAGUCUCUGGAUUAUUCUGCAGGAGGAUCAUUGCAAUUAAUGAAGACAGCUGAAGAAGCUCAUAAUCUCAUAGACACUGUGACCAACAAUCAAUACUUUUAUGCUCAUCAGAGGCAAUGCCAACCAGUUCAAAAGAAGGGUGUGUUGGAGCUAGAAAGAGUGGAUACUAUCUUGGCACGAAACAAGUUGACACACCAGCAAAUUCAACAACAAAUGAAGAUGAUGGCAAAGAAAAUUGAUGGACUUUAAGUGGCUGCAGUUAGCACAGCAAGCCAAACUUCAAUUGGAUGGAGCCAAAGUGAAGAAGCUUCUGAGAAAUACAACUAUGAUCAGCAAUCAGAACAAGUCCAAUACAUGCAUAACACCUCAAGCUCUUCUCAGAAUGAAUUCCAUGGAGAUAUAUACAAUCCAUUAUGGAGGAAUCAUCCCAAUUUGAGGUGGGGUGAUAAUUAGAAUUCAUGGCAAAAGAAUCACAAUUCCAAUAACUCUCGCAACACAAACAACCAAAAUCAUUCAUCCAAUAACACUAACCAAUACAGAAAACCACAAAACUCAUAUCAGUAACCCAACAACAACUCACAAAUUCACCAAAAUAACUUCUCCACACCACAUUUUAACUCCCAGAACAACCAUCUCAAUAACCCAAAUAACUUCCAGCAACGACCAUCAUAUUCCAACAUACCAUCCAUUGACCAUCAAGAAACCAGGAUCUCAACUCUUGAAGCAACAUUACAAGCACUCGCUCAGACUACACAAAGUUUUGCUAAAGGGCAAGAGAGUUUAAUCAAAGGACUAGAGCGACAAGAGGCCACCAUGAGGAAUCUUGAAAGGCAAGUAGGGCAAUUGGCCAGACAAGCUGAAAGACCAACCAAUGUUUUUCCAAGUGAUAUUCCAAAUCUCAAAGAAGAAUGUAAGGCCAUCCAGCUAAGGAGUGGGAAAACUUUGGAGAAUGACAAAGGUGCUAGCCAAAAUA